GUUAAUGUAGCUUAAAAUUAAAGCAAGGCACUGAAAAUGCCAAGACGAGACAUGAUCUCCAUAAACA
rnacentral:tRNA from 1 species